GCAACGAGCGCAACCCUUAUCUUUAGUUGCCAGCAUUCAGUUGGGCACUCUAGAGAGACUGCCGUCGACAAGACGGAGGAAGGCGGGGAUGACGUCAAAUCAUCAUGCCCCUUAUGACCUGGGCUACACACGUGCUACAAUGGCUGGUACAACGGGAAGCUAGCUCGCGAGAGUAUGCCAAUCUCUUAAAACCAGUCUCAGUUCGGAUUGCAGGCUGCAACUCGCCUGCAUGAAGUCGGAAUCGCUAGUAAUCGCGGAUCACAUGCCGCGGUGAAUACGUUCCCGGGCCUUGUACACACCGCCCGUCACACCACGGGAGUUUGCAACACCCGAAGUCGGUGAGGUAACCGCAAGGAGCCAGCCGCCGAAGUGGGGUAGAUGACUGGGGUGAAGUCGUA
rnacentral:rRNA from 1 species